GACGACCGGCGCACGGGUGAGUAACGCGUAUGUAAUCUGCCUUGUACAGAGGGAUAGCCCAGAGAAAUUUGGAUUAAUACCUCAUAGUAUUACCGAAUCGCAUGAUUCGGUAAUUAAAGCUCCGGCGGUACAAGAUGAACAUGCGUGACAUUAGCUAGUUGGUAAGGUAAUGGCUUACCAAGGCCACGAUGUCUAGGGGUUCUGAGAGGAUGAUCCCCCACACUGGUACUGAGACACGGACCAGACUCCUACGGGAGGCAGCAGUGAGGAAUAUUGGUCAAUGGACGCAAGUCUGAACCAGCCAUCCCGCGUGAAGGAUGACUGCCCUAUGGGUUGUAAACUUCUUUUAUAUGCAAAUAAACCUACUUUCGUGAAAGUAGCUGAAGGUAGCAUAUGAAUAAACACCGGCUAACUCCGUGCCAGCAGCCGCGGUAAUACGGAGGGUGUAAGCGUUAUCCGGAUUUAUUGGGUUUAAA
rnacentral:rRNA from 1 species